CUAUGUAUGGUUACGUCAUGGG
rnacentral:siRNA from 1 species